GACGAACGCUGGCGGCGUGCCUAAUACAUGCAAGUCGAACGCUGAAGAGAGGAGCUUGCUCUUCUUGGAUGAGUUGCGAACGGGUGAGUAACGCGUAGGUAACCUGCCUUGUAGCGGGGGAUAACUAUUGGAAACGAUAGCUAAUACCGCAUAAUAAUGGAUGACACAUGUCAUUUAUUUGAAAGGGGCAAUUGCUCCACUACAAGAUGGACCUGCGUUGUAUUAGCUAGUAGGUGAGGUAAUGGCUCACCUAGGCGACGAUACAUAGCCGACCUGAGAGGGGGGUCGGCCACAACGGGACUGAGACACGGGCCAGACUCCUACGGGAGGCAGCAGUAGGGAAUCUUCGGCAAUGGGGGCAAACCUGACCGAGCAACGCCGCGUGAGUGAAGAAGGUUUUCGGAUCGUAAAGCUCUUUUGUAAGUCAAGGACGGAUGUGAGAGUUGAAAGUUCACACUGUGACGGUAGCUUACCAGAAAGGGACGGCUAACUACGUG
rnacentral:rRNA from 1 species